CAAGGUGAUUCCCAAAGCCAGAUGAUCAACUGAAGGAUGAGCCCUCUCUCAGGUCAGCUGUGUCCAAUAUGUCUCUUUCUGAAAGGUGCUGAGGAGCAGUCCAAUUGUAUCAAGCAGGAAUCCUAUCUCUGUCCUUUAGAUGCUCUUUGUUGGAGAGGAUGCUGGCUUUGAGGACACACCUGCAGAUGAUCAGGUCAUCAGAUCUCUGGAGAUGUUUGAGUUCCCCUGCUGGUUUCUGACUACACUUGAAAGUUCCAUGUUCCUAAGCCUCCAUAAUCUUGAGCAUGGUAAUCCUCUGCAGUUCUUCAUUGCCUUCAAGCGUCUGCCAGCCUGCUCUCUGAAGUUCUCCACCCAGUACUCCUUUGGAUCUCAAACACCAAACAUCUGGAAGCAAACCACCUCUAAGCCAGCCCUCCAUCUACCACCAGGAACAUCCUCACCCUUCUGAGCCAGACACCUUCCCCCAGGCAGUUAGAUGUUCUCCUUCAUUAAACCUAGAAAACCCAUCUAAACACCUUUAAUAAAGUUCUUCCUCCUUCCAGAUGCAGUUGAGACCCGUUGCUGCAGUUUAUUUCCCUGCUUCACCGCCCAUCUGUUAAUAAACCUUUUUAACUUGUUUGCAGUCUUGCCUCCAGGUUUGAUUCUGCAUGUGGGUCACAAUAUUUAACAAAAAUAUGACACUCCUAAUGCCUUUGUACAAUAUGAUGCUUUUAAUCUUCUCUCUGAGAGUCCCAUCUGAGUGCAACAGAGACUUGUAAAACGUAGACUUGGCUGAAGAAUUCUCACACACUCAUAUGAUUUUAUAAAUAAACAUACAUGCCCUUCUUUGUAUCAAAUGUUGUGAUUCUUUGUAUUUUGGUGAUGUA